rnacentral:rRNA from 1 species
UUUAAAUGUAAAAUUUUAAUACUAAAUUAUUAAUAGUUAAGUUCUUUAAAUUUAAAGAUUUUGGCGGUAUUUUAGUCUAUUCAGAGGAACCUGUUCUAUGAUUGAUAGUCCACGAUUAACAUUACUUAAUUUAAAAAUUUGUAUAUCGUCGUUUAUGAAUGAUUUUAUAAGAAUUAAAAUUUUUAGGAUUUUAAAUAAAAAAAUAUAUCAGAUCAAGGUGCAGUUUAUAAUUAAGAAGAAAUGGGUUACAAUAAAUUUAUUUAUACGAAUUAGUAUAUAAAAAUGUAUUAUGAAGGAGGAUUUGAUAGUAAUAAAAUUUAAUUAGAUUUUAUGAUUUUAGCUCUAAAAUAUGU